rnacentral:lncRNA from 1 species
UUUACAGAUCAGUCAGAUUUCAUAUUUCUAAAACAAUCAGAUCCAAAACAAAAAUGGACAUUUAGCAUUAAACAAAAUGCUAAAUGAAUCUCUUUGCAGAUUCUUUCAGGGAAUGGAGACCAUUCACAUGGAUUGACAUGCCAAUUUUCUCAUCGUGUAAGUAUAUUUUUGAUCGGUUUCUUUAAUCCGAUUUAUUUAGUAAAAAAAAAGAAAAUCUAAAUUCAUGGUGUAUACGCUUCCUUUUUUCUUUUAAUUCACAGGUUGAAUGUGGUCUUUUCACUUACCUACAACUAACUCAAAAAUCUUACAUUUGAUAUUUUGAGGUUUGUAUUUCCAAAUAUUAAAAAACUCUUCCCUUCCUUAUGGCCCCUCCCAGCAUGUUCUGAAGUGGUCUCUUUCAGACAAAAGAGAAUGACAUCCCCCUUUCAACUAGCAAAUGUUGGAUUCCCUAAACCAACUGGGGGUAAACUGGAAGUUUUGCAAUUAGAUUCACACAAGCUGAAUAUGUUCAUUAUCUCCAAACAUUCUCCUUCGAACUUUACAAAUAUAACACUACUGAGUUUAGAGUUUCCUGUGGCUUGUUUACAAAUAAAGGUAUCUUGAUAAAAACCAAGCCCUGUGUAUUUCUGAAAAACAAAAAACCAUGCAACAAUCUCAUAUGAAAACACUACAAAAGGAUUGUGAAGGGAAAUUUAAAAGGAGAA